GGAGAGGUGGCCGAGUGGCCGAAGGCGCUCCCCUGCUAAGGGAGUACAUCUCAUAAGGGUGUCGGGGGUUCGAAUCCCCCCUUCUCCGCCA
rnacentral:tRNA from 4 species